rnacentral:rRNA from 1 species
AAGGUAAUAAUCCUGUAGUCGAAAACAUAUUCUCUCUUGAGUGGAUCCUGAGUACGACGGAGCACGUGAAAUUCCGUCGGAAUCUGGGAGGACCAUCUCCUAAGGCUAAAUACUCUCUAGUGACCGAUAGUGAACCAGUACCGUGAGGGAAAGGUGAAAAGUACCCCGGAAGGGGAGUGAAAGAGAACUUGAAACCGUGUGCUUACAAGUAGUCAGAGCCCGUUAAUGGGUGAUGGCGUGCCUUUUGUAGAAUGAACCGGCGAGUUACGAUCUGAUGCAAGGUUAAGCAGCAAAUGUGGAGCCGCAGCGAAAGCGAGUCUGAAUAGGGCGUUGAGUAUUUGGUCGUAGACCCGAAACCAGGUGAUCUACCCUUGGUCAGGUUGAAGUUCAGGUAACACUGAAUGGAGGACCGAACCGACUUACGUUGAAAAGUGAGCGGAUGAACUGAGGGUAGCGGAGAAAUUCCAAUCGAACUUGGAGAUAGCUGGUUCUCUCCGAAAUAGCUUUAGGGCUAGCCUCAAGUGAUGAUUAUUGGAGGUAGAGCACUGUUUGGACGAGGGGCCCCUCUCGGGUUACCGAAUUCAGACAAACUCCGAAUGCCAAUUAAUUUAACUUGGGAGUCAGAACAUGGGUGAUAAGGUCCGUGUUCGAAAGGGAAACAGCCCAGACCACCAGCUAAGGUCCCAAAAUAUAUGUUAAGUGGAAAAGGAUGUGGCGUUGCCCAGACAACUAGGAUGUUGGCUUAGAAGCAGCCAUCAUUUAAAGAGUGCGUAAUAGCUCACUAGUCGAGUGACACUGCGCCGAAAAUGUACCGGGGCUAAACAUAUUACCGAAGCUGUGGAUUGUCCUUUGGACAAUGGUAGGAGAGCGUUCUAAGGGCGUCGAAGCAUGAUCGCAAGGACAUGUGGAGCGCUUAGAAGUGAGAAUGCCGGUGUGAGUAGCGAAAGACGGGUGAGAAUCCCGUCCAC